rnacentral:rRNA from 1 species
CACGAACGCUGGCGGCAGGCUUAACACAUGCAAGUCGAGCGCCCCGCAAGGGGAGCGGCAGACGGGUGAGUAACGCGUGGGAAUCUACCCAUCUCUACGGAAUAACGCAUGGAAACGUGUGCUAAUACCGUAUACGUCCUUCGGGAGAAAGAUUUAUCGGAGAUGGAUGAGCCCGCGUUGGAUUAGCUAGUUGGUGGGGUAAGGGCCUACCAAGGCGACGAUCCAUAGCUGGUCUGAGAGGAUGAUCAGCCACACUGGGACUGAGACACGGCCCAGACUCCUACGGGAGGCAGCAGUGGGGAAUAUUGGACAAUGGGCGCAAGCCUGAUCCAGCCACGCCGCGUGAGUGAUGAAGGCCCUAGGGUUGUAAAGCUCUUUCACCGGUGAAGAUAAUGACGGUAACCGGAGAAGAAGCCCCGGCUAACUUCGCGCCAGCCGCCGCCGUAAUAC